CUCCCCUCGCGUCUCCUCCCCUCGCGUCUCCUCCCCUCGCGUCUCCUCCCCUCCCGCCUCCUCCCCUCCCGUCUCCUCCCCUCUCCUCCGCCAGCCGCAGGCGAGCCAAGAACCGGGAGAGCAAAGCACCGGGCGGAGGGGAGGGGGCGCGAGGAGGAGGCGGAGAUUCGGGGGACAAGGUCGGUUCCGCCUGAGACUGAAAGAAACUGGGAGCCAGGCGGGGGCGGCGGAAGCGCGAGUCCAGAACCGAGCCCGGCGGGGCCGCUGCGCGGAUGGACGGCGGGCCGGAGCCUCGGGCCGGGGCGGAUCCGGGCAGAGCGGGCGCCGCACUCCCGCAAACAGGGCCGUGGACCCCGCGGGCCGUGGCUCUCCCCGGAGGCGCCCCCUCUGAGCUGCUGCCUGUGGAGCGCGGCACGGAGGCUGCAGAACUACGCGGCCGCCCGACUGACGGGGUCUGCCCUGGUUUGUUUAUUUUUAUCUUUCUUUAAAGUAAGAGUGCAGAAGGCUUCCCCUCCUCUCACGCCACCUCUCCAAAGAGGGCCAAUGUGGGUGACUUUCUGAGUGGUCCCCAAAGCAGAUCCCGAGGCCUGCGCGUCGCGAAUCUUCUCUGCCAGGGCGCUGGUGGAGUAGUUUCUCAGCUGGUGCCUCUGACCCAGAGAAUCCUGCCGCAUGGCGGUGGUUCUGGAAUGCCCUGUGGAUUCGCCCUAAGGCCUUGUAGGCCCGGGGACUCUGGGGAUGUUGUAUAAAGCAGGAAAAUAUGUAAAUGGAUCGCAGGGGAAAGGUAGCGUGGCCCAGCGGUCUAAUGCGCUGGAUUAAGGCUCCAGUCUCUUCGGAGGCGUGGGUUCGAAUCCCACCGCUGCCAGCUUGGUGUGGUUUGUCCACUUUUGUCCCCCAAUAAGGAUUCGUUGGAACUUUCCUCGGGCCCCACGCUUGCUCGGGAUCUGGAUUCCAUUUGGCAGCGCGCAGCCGUCCAGUGGACGGGCUUUGUAGGGAGUUCCUUGGCGCUGGUGUUCACAGCAAGUGAGGUGGGUUCAGUUCUUCCCAGGUUCCAGUGGUUGAGGUGGAAAGGCAACGGUAUAAAUACCCUGGAUAGCCUUUUCUUCUUAACCAGGUGGAGAUAGAGGUGGAGUGUUGUAGGCUAGUCCUAAGUGUAAUACGUUUGAAGUAAUGAGGUAAAAAGUAGACGGAAGUGUUUCCGCCCGGUUUUGAACCGGGGACCUUUCGCGUGUGAGGCGAACGUGAUAACCACUACACUACGGAAACCCGCUUGGCUUUCGUGUGCCAUCGUAAUGACCCACCACACAGAGCCGUUUUUCAUUUCCUCAUCGUAAUUCAGAGCUUCCUCCAUGCGUCCCUUUGAGCUUUGUUAAUGAGCAUAAGCACACACACAAAGAUAUCUCAGCACCUGGAAGGCUGAGGCGGCAGGAUAGCUGGAGCCCAGGAGGUCGAGACUGCACUGAGCUAUGAUUGCAGCACUGCACUCCAGCCUGGGCGACAGAGCAAGACCUUAUCUCGAAAGAGAGAAAAGAAAGAAACGAGAAAAGGAAGUUUUCAUGUGCAAUGUGGUGGCAUAAGUGGGCACGGGAGUCCUGAGAGAGGAUGUCGCGGCGACAGUGGGUAUGGGGGUUGAACAGCAGGGGCGCGCUGGCACCCACCAUUUUCAAAGAGAAGACACAUUCAGAAGAAGCUGCUUGGGGAAUAUGAGGCCACGCAUUUAAAAGGCAGAUGAAAACAGAGGAAAAGCAGAUCACUUCUUGUGUACCACUGAGGCUGACAGCCAGGAUUGGCUGCAGAUGGGCAUGUUGGAAAUCUUUGUGGUAACGGAACUGUUUUAAAAGUGGAUUGUGGUGAAGGUUGCAGAAUCCUAUGCAGUGACUAAAAACCAUUGAACUGUAUAUUUACAAUGAGUGGAUUUUAUUGUAUUGAAUUGUACCCCAAUAAAGCUGUUAUAGAAUGCUAAACCAUAAAAACAAACCCCCAAACACAGCAACAGGCAGUUCGUGUUUCCCAGGGAUCAGCUCAGGUGACAGUUGCAUUGUGCAAAAUGAUUCCUGUGACCCAGAGUAUAAUUAAUGUUUACAUAAUGCUUUACUGCAGCCUUGGAGGGCAGGUAACUUGCACCUUGAAACUUGAAGGUCUUGCUAGUAUUGCUUGUAAUCAAAGUAAAGUCGUUGUAUAAAUAAACAAGGUGUGAAUAAAUUUAA